UACGGGGGGGGGCAAGCGUUGUUCGGAAUUACUGGGCGUAAAGGGCUCGUAGGCGGCCAACUAAGUCGGAUGUGAAAUCCCCAGGCUUAACCUGGGAACUGCAUCCGAUACUGGAUGGCUUGAAUCCGGGAGAGGGAUGCGGAAUUCCAGGGUGUAGCGGUGAAAUGCGUAGAUAUCUGGAGGAACACCGGUGGCGAAGGCGGC
rnacentral:rRNA from 1 species